AGAGUUUGAUCCUGGCUCAGAAUCAACGCUGGCGGCGCGCUUAACACAUGCAAGUCGAACGAGAAAGGGGAGCAAUCCCUGAGUAAAGUGGCGUACGGGUGAGUAACACGUGGGUAAUCUACCUUUUGGUGGGGGAUAACGCUGGGAAACCGGCGCUAACACCGCAUAAGCUCGGGAGAGGAAAAGAGAAAUCUGCCGAAAGAGGAGCCCGCGGCUGAUUAGCUAGUUGGUGAGGUAAAGGCUCACCAAGGCAAUGAUCGGUAGCCGGCCUGAGAGGGCACACGGCCACACUGGCACUGAAACACGGGCCAGACUCCUACGGGAGGCAGCAGUGGGGAAUCUUGCACAAUGGGGGAAACCCUGAUGCAGCGACGCCGCGUGAGUGAUGAAGCCCUUCGGGGUGUAAAGCUCUUUCGGCAGGGACGAUAAUGACGGUACCUGAAGAAGAAGCUGCGGCUAACUACGUGCCAGCAGCCGCGGUAAUACGUAGGCAGCGAGCGUUGUUCGGAGUUACUGGGCGUAAAGAGUGCGUAGGCGGUUUUCUAAGUUUGGUGUGAAAUCUCCCGGCUCAACUGGGAGGGUGCGCCGAAGACUGGGAGGCUAGAGUGUGGGAGAGGUAAGCGGAAUUCCUGGUGUAGCGGUGAAAUGCGUAGAUAUCAGGAGGNNNNCCUGCGGUGUAGACGGCUUACUGGACCACCACUGACGCUGAGGCACGAAAGCGUGGGUAGCAAACAGGAUUAGAUACCCUAGUAGUCC
rnacentral:rRNA from 1 species